GUGUCAGCCGCCGCGGUAAUACGGAGGGGGCCAGCGUUGUUCGGAAUCAUUGGGCGUAAAGGGCGCGUAGGCGGCCGAUCAAGUCGAACGUGAAAUCUCCCGGCUCAACCGGGAACCUGCGUCCGAUACUGCUCGGCUCGAGUCCCGGAGAGGGUAGUGGAAUUCCCAGUGUAGCGGUGAAAUGCGUAGAUACUGGGAGGAACACCGGUGGCGAAGGCGGCUACCUGGACGGGUACUGACGCUGAGGCGCGAGAGCUGGGGGAGCAAACAGGAUUAGAAACCCGCGUAGUCC
rnacentral:rRNA from 1 species